rnacentral:misc_RNA from 1 species
CCAAUAGCGUAUAUUAAAGUUGUUGCAGUUAAAAAGCUCGUAGUUGAAUUUCGGGAUCAGUUGAUCGGUCGUGCCUCGGUACGUACUGGUCAAAUUGAUUCCUACCUUCUGACGAACCACGAUGUCAUUAAUUUGGUGUCGUGGGAAAUCAGGACUGUUACUUUGAAAAAAUUAGAGUGUUUAAAGCAGGCUCGCGCUUGAAUACAUUAGCAUGGAAUAAUGAAAUAGGACGGUUGAUUCUAUUUUGUUGGUUUCUAGGAUCGACGUAAUGAUUAAUAGGGAUAGUUGGGGGCAUUAGUAUUCAAUUGUCAGAGGUGAAAUUCUUGGAUUUAUUGAAGACUAACUACUGCGAAAGCAUUUGCCAAGGAUGUUUUCAUUAAUCAAGAACGAAAGUUAGGGGAUCGAAGACGAUCAGAUACCGUCGUAGUCUUAACCAUAAACUAUGCCGACUAGGGAUCGGAUGAUGUUAAUUUUUUAAUGACUCAUUCGGCGCCUUACG